rnacentral:rRNA from 1 species
AACGAGAGUUUGAUCCCGGCUCAGAAUCAACGCUGGCGGCGCGCCUAACACAUGCAAGUCGAGCGAGAAAGCAGACUUCGGUCUGCAAGUACAGCGGCAGACGGGUGAGUAACACGUGGGUAACCUGCCCUUGAAUGGGGAAUAACCUUGGGAAACCGGGACUAAUACCGCAUACGAUCUUUGUUACACAAGUAGUGAAGAUGAAAGCCUUCGGGCGUUCGAGGAGGGAUCCGCGGCCGAUUAGCUUGUUGGUAAGGUAAUGGCUUACCAAGGCACCGAUCGGUAGCCGGCCUGAGAGGGUGAACGGCCACACUGGCACUGAGACACGGGCCAGACUCCUACGGGAGGCAGCAGUGGGGAAUCUUGGACAAUGGGGGAAACCCUGAUCCAGCAAUUCCGCGUGAACGAUGAAGGCCUUAGGGUUGUAAAGUUCUUUUAGUAAGGAAGAUGAUGACGGUACUUACAGAAAAAGCUCCGGCUAACUCCGUGCCAGCAGCCGCGGUAAUACGGAGGGGGCAAGCGUUGUUCGGAAUUACUGGGCGUAAAGAGCGAGCAGGUGGUUCAUUAAGUCAAUUGUGAAAGCUCAAGGCUUAACCUUGAAAUUGCUUUUGAUACUGAUGAACUAGAGUUUGGGAGAGGAUAGUGGAAUUCUAAGUGUAGAAGUGAAAUUCGUAGAUAUUUAGAGGAACACCGAUAGCGAAGGCAACUAUCUGGCCCUUUACUGACACUCAGAAGCGAAAGCUUGGGUAGCAAACAGGAUUAGAUACCCUGGUAGUCCAUGCUGUAAACGAUGAGUGCUAGAUGUUAGAAGUUUACUUCUAGUAUCGAAGCUAACGCGUUAAGCACUCCGCCUGGGGAGUACGGCCGCAAGGCUAAAACUCAAAUGAAUUGACGGGGACCCGCACAAGCAGUGGAGCAUGUGGUUUAAUUCGACGCUACGCGAAGAACCUUACCAGCUCUUGACAUGCUAAGUUAUGAAUUUAAGAGAUUAAAUUCUUCAGUUCGGCUGGGCUUAGUACAGGUGCUGCAUGGCUGUCGUCAGCUCGUGUCGUGAGAUGUUCGGUUAAGUCCGGCAACGAGCGCAACCCUCAUCUUCAGUUACUAACAGGUUAAGCUGAGGACUCUGGAGAAACUGCCGUUGGAAAAGCGGAGGAAGGCGAGGAUGACGUCAAGUCCUCAUGGCCCUUAUGGGCUGGGCUACACACGUGCUACAAUGGUAAUUACAAUAGGUCGCGAAAUGGCAACAUUGAGCUAAUCUUCAAAAAUUAUCUUAGUUCAGAUUGUUCUCUGCAACUCGAGAGCAUGAAGUUGGAAUUGCUAGUAAUCGUGGAUCAGCAUGCCACGGUGAAUACGUUCCCGGGUCUUGUACAC